GUUCAUUGUCCAAUAGCUUGUUUUCUGUUGACCGAAGGUGGGGUGAAACACUGUGCCCAGCUCUGGACAGCACAAGAUGCUGAGAUGACUGCUACCUGUGGUCUCAGGAGCAGCAGCAGAGACAACAUCACCUCAGAGGUGGGAAUCACUUCUGCAGGUGGCGGGAGGUUCUUUGUGCCCAUCUCUGGACCUUUGCCUUUCAGCAAGGAUUCCUGCCAGCCGCCCACAGCUGCACACUCCCUGUCCCUCCUAGAUAGCAGAUGUGUCAACAGAGGACAGUGCCAGGCUGAUCCUGCAUGGCUGGCUGAGCAUCUGUCCAUCAGAAAGGCUGUAUGGAAGUAUCACUAUCUGCCUUCCAGUUGACUCCCAAGCCCAGUCCCACAAACGGAGCAGAAGACAGCAAAUGUAGGUUGUUAACAUCACCAGGCUCUGCUGUUUCCCUGAGCCCUGCAUUUCAGGGUCCUGGCCCUCACCUGAGACCAGUGCUCCCAGUGACAGACACCAACAGCCCUUUCACCCUCCUGGCUCCCACAGAAUAAUGUUGCCUCUACUUUCUUUUUGCAGUCUUUUCUUUAUUCCUCCACCUCAUGCUGCUACUCACCCCACUCUCCUUCUGCUUUCCUCCCAUUCAUCACUUAAACUCCUGAUCUGUUGCCUCUUAAACCUUUCUUUUUAGAUGUAACAACCUCCACCUUCCUGGCAGUUAUUUUGGGAUCACCUGUGACCCUGAGCUCAAUUCUUCAUCUUGUUCCUCUCCGUAAUUCUGUCUGUCAAGAGCUGCAAUUUCACCCUAACAGACCCCAAAGUGAGCAAUUCCCGUAUGCUGCAGUCUCUUCUCACAUGGGCUAUCACAGCCCUAUUUCUUACUGAGUACAAGAAAUUAAUGUUUAAAAAAAAAAAAAAAAAAGGCUUCCAGAGUCAGCUGAGCCCUUCAACCUUCAAAUUAACACGCCCAUUCCAAACAGAGGUCAUACUCUGAGGACCUGUUUAUCUUUCUUUUCUGCUAUCCCUUCUUCAUUUUAUUUCUGGAAGCUUUGUGUUGACUUUGACAUGUGUUCAAAGAACCGCAUUUCCAAAGGUGUGAGCAGCAUGUCAGAAUCACAACACACCUUUCUUAAAAGAGAUUCAGCAGUGCCCACAUUUAGAUCUAUCAUGGCAUAGUAGAAACACUACAGCUUCAUAGUCAGUAAUGCACACACAAGGAGGGAAUGGGUCUGGUUUCUUGCUCAGCCACCUCUGAAUGUGCGGCCAGAAUGACCAAGAAAGCAUUUAGGUGGGUCAAGUUUUCAGUCUGGUAUAUGGCUUGAAUCAAUAGCAAAAUACAUUACAUGUCCUAGCAACAAACACCUUCUUCAAAGUGUAAUGAGCAUCAUUUUUUUUUUCCAAAGGAUAUCUUCUCCUGGCUAUUCAAUACAAAUAAUGAAGAAUGAGAGACUCCGUUUUAAGCAUUAGUACAACAAAUGCAAGUCAGUAUUAAAGAGCCAGAAGGGCAUUUAUAUCCCUGUAAACAGAUAAUUCAGUUUAGAGACUGGUUUUGAAUUUGUUGGUGCUUUCUUACAGGAUUGUUUUCUCACUUCUUUUUGUCUUAGUUUUGUGUCUAUCUUUCAAGUAAAUAGAGAAGCACAAUGGAUUCUGAAAACUGAACUACACUUGAAUGAACCAGCACACUCACCUAAGGGUAUGAUGUUUUUCCAAAGGAGGAAGCAUUUCCCUCUUUCAUGUUUUAGAUAAUGAGUAAUAGCUAUCACCAAUUCUAGGAAGAUCUUAGGCAAAACAUUAUGUGUUUCAGAAAUGUAAAUACACCACUGUGAUUCAUGAGCUGGCAUAAUCAGAUCAGCAAAGAGGCACAUCAGUGAGGAACAGCCUUUCUUUUAGAGAUAAGAGCAACUUUAACCACAGUAAGAGCAGGUGUGUCUCCAGUUACUCCACUGCCUUUGUUUGUAAGGAUGAAUUUCACCUGUUGUUGAAAAGUAAAGAGUGCACCUCUGCUUUUAAUGAGUAAGAUUUACUAAUCCCACCCUGUGCAGUAUAGAGACUCAAUGUAGAAAGUGUUAGCUCCAUUUUUUUUUUCUUCAAAGCUUCUUCUCUGUUUUCCUUUACUCCACCUACUAACACACACCCAUAUCCUGAAGCUCCAAGUCAUCCUUAUGUUCUGAAGCCCUGUUCAGGGCAAUAACCUCCAUAAUUUCCUUAGGUGUUAACACUGAAUUACCACAUUGCAACAUCCCAGCUCUGCUGCAUUCCCAGUUCUCUGGGAGUUUGUCACACUGGCUUCACAAUCUGGUUCUUUGCCAGCCCCCAUGCCUGCUCACCCGUCAUUCCUGCUCUAUUCCUGCUCUCUGCACCUUUCGUAAUGGUGAAAAUGCUUCUUUGUUGCUGGUGGGCUGUGCUAGGUAUUCAAGUGCAACAUUCCUUUAUUUUCCUUCCCCUGCUGCCAAGAUGGGAGCAAGGUCUAAUAAAGUUAUCUGCUAUUAAAGAAGGACCA
rnacentral:lncRNA from 1 species